rnacentral:rRNA from 1 species
UACGUAGGGUGCGAGCGUUAAUCGGAAUUACUGGGCGUAAAGCGUGCGCAGGCGGUUUUGUAAGUCAGAUGUGAAAUCCCCCGGGCUCAACCUGGGAACUGCGUUUGAAACUACAAGGCUAGAGUGUAGCAGAGGGGGGUAGAAUUCCACGUGUAGCAGUGAAAUGCGUAGAGAUGUGGAGGAAUACCAAUGGCGAAGGCAGCCCCCUGGGUUAACACU